AAUAAACCAAUUUUUCACUUUUUACAUUCAAUUUUUAACUCUUCGUCUUAUUCAAAUUUUUUUAUUAAUAUUUUUGUUUUUAUUAAAUGAUAAAUCAUAAAUAGUAUUUUACGUGUGACUAUUUUUUUUUCUAAUUUUCUAAAAGUUUUUUAAAUAAAACGGAUAGUCAAACGUUGGACACGGAAAUCAAAAAAUUCGGUUUUU
rnacentral:pre_miRNA from 1 species